CGGAAUUACUGGGCGUAAAGCGCACGCAGGCGGUUUGUUAAGCUAGAUGUGAAAGCCCCGGGCUCAACCUGGGAAUUGCGAUGGAGACUGCAAGGCUUGAAUCUGGCAGAGGGGGGUAGAAUUCCACGUGUAGCAGUGAAAUGCGUAGAUAUGUGGAGGAACACCAAUGGCGAAGGCAGCCCCCUGGGAUAACACUGACGCUCAUGCACGAAAGCGUGGG
rnacentral:rRNA from 12 species